CUAUCAGAGUGAGAUUAAGCCAUGCGAGUCAACGUAUGAAUAAUACGUGGCGAACGGCUCAGUAACACGUAGUCAACAUGCCCAAAGGACGUGGAUAACCUCGGGAAACUGAGGAUAAACCGCGAUAGGUCAUAAUUACUGGAAUGUAUUAUGGCCCAAAUCUAUAUGGCCUUUGGAUUGGACUGCGGCCGAUCAGGCCGUUGGUGAGGUAAUGGCCCACCAAACCUUUUACCGGUACGGGCUCUGAGAGGAGGAGCCCGGAGAUGGGCACUGAGACAAGGGCCCAGGCCCUAUGGGGCGCAGCAGGCGCGAAACCUCUGCAAUAGGCGAAAGCCUGACAGGGUUACUCUGAGUGAUUCCCGCUAAGGGAAUCUUUUGGCAUCUCUAAAAAUGGUGCAGAAUAAGGGGUGGGCAAGUCUGGUGUCAGCCGCCGCGGUAAUACCAGCACCCCGAGUGGUCGGGACGAUUAUUGGGCCUAAAGCAUCCGUAGCCGGUCUUGCAAGUCUUCCGUUAAAUCCAGCUGCUUAACAGAUGGGCUGCGGAGGAUACUACAAGGCUAGGAGGCGGGAGAGGCAAGCGGUACUCAGUGGGUAGGGGUAAAAUCCUCUGAUCCAUUGAAGACCACCAGUGGCGAAGGCGGCUCGCCAGAACGCGCUCGACGGUGAGGGAUGAAAGCUGGGGGAGCAAACCGGAUUAGAUACCCGGGUAGUCCCAGCUGUAAACGAUGCAGACUCGGUGAUGGGCCGGCUUUAUGCCGGCUCAGCGCCGCAGGGAAGCCGUUAAGUCUGCCGCCUGGGGAGUACGGUCGCAAGACUGAAACUUAAAGGAAUUGGCGGGGGGGCACCACAAGGGGUGAAGCCUGCGGUUCAAUUGGAUUCAACGCCGGG
rnacentral:rRNA from 1 species